UGGGGAAUAUUGCACAAUGGGCGCAAGCCUGAUGCAGCCAUGCCGCGUGUAUGAAGAAGGCCUUCGGGUUGUAAAGUACUUUCAGCGGGGAGGAAGGGAGUAAAGUUAAUACCUUUGCUCAUUGACGUUACCCGCAGAAGAAGCACCGGCUAACUCCGUGCCAGCAGCCGCGGUAAUACGGAGGGUGCAAGCGUUAAUCGGAAUUACUGGGCGUAAAGCGCACGCAGGCGGUUUGUUAAGUCAGAUGUGAAAUCCCCGGGCUCAACCUGGGAAAUGCAUCUGAAACUGGCAAGCUUGAGUCUCGUAGAGGGGGGUAGAAUUCCAGGUGUAGCGGUGAAAUGCGUAGAGAUCUGGAGGAAUACCGGUGGCGAAGGCGGCCCCCUGGACGAAGACUGACGCUCAGGUGCGAAAGCGUGGGGAGCAAACAGG
rnacentral:rRNA from 1 species